UUGGGUAGGGGAGCGUUCUGUAAGCCUGUGAAGGUGGCCUGUGAGGGUUGCUGGAGGUAUCAGAAGUGCGAAUGCUGACAUAAGUAACGAUAAAGCGGGUGAAAAGCCCGCUCGCCGGAAGACCAAGGGUUCCUGUCCAACGUUAAUCGGGGCAGGGUGAGUCGACCCCUAAGGCGAGGCCGAAAGGCGUAGUCGAUGGGAAACAGGUUAAUAUUCCUGUACUUGGUGUUACUGCGAAGGGGGGACGGAGAAGGCUAUGUUGGCCGGGCGACGGUUGUCCCGGUUUAAGCGUGUAGGCUGGUUUUCCAGGCAAAUCCGGAAAACCAAGGCUGAGGCGUGAUGACGAGGCACUACGGUGCUGAAGCGACAAAUGCCCUGCUUCCAGGAAAAGCCUCUAAGCAUCAGGUAACAUCAAAUCGUACCCCAAACCGACACAGGUGGUCAGGUAGAGAAUACCAAGGCGCUUGAGAGAACUCGGGUGAAGGAACUAGGCAAAAUGGUGCCGUAACUUCGGGAGAAGGCACGCUGAUAUGUAGGUGAAGCGACUAGCUCGUGGAGCUGAAAUCAGUCGAAGAUACCAGCUGGCUGCAACUGUUUAUUAAAAACACAGCACUGUGCAAACACGAAAGUGGACGUAUACGGUGUGACGCCUGCCCGGUGCCGGAAGGUUAAUUGAUGGGGUUAGCGGUAACGCGAAGCUCUUGAUCGAAGCCCCGGUAAACGGCGGCCGUAACUAUAACGGUCCUAAGGUAGCGAAAUUCCUUGUCGGGUAAGUUCCGACCUGCACGAAUGGCGUAAUGAUGGCCAGGCUGUCUCCACCCGAGACUCAGUGAAAUUGAACUCGCUGUGAAGAUGCAGUGUACCCGCGGCAAGACGGAAAGACCCCGUGAACCUUUACUAUAGCUUGACACUGAACAUUGAGCCUUGAUGUGUAGGAUAGGUGGGAGGCUUUGAAGUGUGGACGCCAGUCUGCAUGGAGCCGACCUUGAAAUACCACCCUUUAAUGUUUGAUGUUCUAACGUUGGCCCGUAAUCCGGGUUGCGGACAGUGUCUGGUGGGUAGUUUGACUGGGGCGGUCUCCUCCUAAAGAGUAACGGAGGAGCACGAAGGUUGGCUAAUCCUGGUCGGACAUCAGGAGGUUAGUGCAAUGGCAUAAGCCAGCUUGACUGCGAGCGUGACGGCGCGAGCAGGUGCGAAAGCAGGUCAUAGUGAUCCGGUGGUUCUGAAUGGAAGGGCCAUCGCUCAACGGAUAAAAGGUACUCCGGGGAUAACAGGCUGAUACCGCCCAAGAGUUCAUAUCGACGGCGGUGUUUGGCACCUCGAUGUCGGCUCAUCACAUCCUGGGGCUGAAGUAGGUCCCAAGGGUAUGGCUGUUCGCCAUUUAAAGUGGUACGCGAGCUGGGUUUAGAACGUCGUGAGACAGUUCGGUCCCUAUCUGCCGUGGGCGCUGGAGAACUGAGGGGGGCUGCUCCUAGUACGAGAGGACCGGAGUGGACGCAUCACUGGUGUUCGGGUUGUCAUGCCAAUGGCACUGCCCGGUAGCUAAAUGCGGAAGAGAUAAGUGCUGAAAGCAUCUAAGCACGAAACUUGCCCCGAGAUGAGUUCUCCCUGAGACUUAGAGUCUCCUGAAGGAACGUUGAAGACGACGACGUUGAUAGGCCGGGUGUGUAAGCGCAGCGAUGCGUUGAGCUAACCGGUACUAAUGAACCGUGAGGCUUAACCUU
rnacentral:rRNA from 1 species